AUCGCGUCGCCCCCCCAACACCGUGCAUGAAAUAUUGCGGUCUUUCGGAGGGCGGACAUUGGCUUCCCGUGCUUCGGCACGGCUGGCAUAAAUGCGAGUCCCUUGCGACGGACGACGACAAGUGGUGGUUGGUUUUUCAACUAAGGUGCUGUCGUUCGUCGACCCGUCGGAUGAGGAGACUUCCAUGACCCUAGCCAYGUCACACGACGCCUGCCACGACCGC
rnacentral:rRNA from 1 species